GAAUUUUUAGUUUAAUUAGAAUAUCUUACUUACAAUAAGAUGGUUUAAAAUUCU
rnacentral:tRNA from 1 species